ensembl:snRNA U6 U6 spliceosomal RNA
GUGCUCAGCUUAGCAGGACUCCUGUUAACAUUGGGACACUACAGAGAAGAUUAGCAUGUCCCCUG